rnacentral:lncRNA from 10 species
CAGCACCAUAAAUUGGAUGCUGAUUCAGAGCAUAUACAGCCUUCUGCAGAACUUUGCCCCAGCCCUGAAAUAUGUUGCCAACUAGCUAGUGCUGUAACUGAAGCUCCAAAAGGCCAUUCCACUGUACUAUCAAACCAGCUGCUUCAGGAUGGUGAAGAACAUGGUCAAGUAAAAAUUGAGUGGGCUUCCUAUCUAUUUCACUUCGAGAAACACCAGGAUUAACUAGCCAACACCAUAGGUCUGCAUGAGUCAGAUUAUUCUGAUUGCUGCAUUGAAUCUGCUGUCCGGACGGGACACAGAAGGAAUUGAAUAAAGUCAUGGAAAAUGAAACUCAGGUUGGUCUUCUCACUGGCUUCUUAAAGGAAUGAGCACAUUGUGAUCCUGCUCUGUAUCGUGG